AUUGGCCCUGACCUUCUUGCCCUGCUGUAUUUCUUCAAGUGAGGAACAUCUGAACAGACAACAGAGAAAUGCCUCCACUGAGGUAGCCACAGAAUGGAAACCAUGGGCUCUGACUCUAGAGAUGCUGUUUUGGGCAUCUCUUGUACACUGUCAAACUGAGUGCCUGCUAUCCUGGAAUUGUGAACCAAAGUAAACAUUCCCUUCCUUCGCUUGCUUUUCUUGGGAUUGUUUGUCACAGUAACGGAGAUGAGGAGUAAGGUACAAACUGAUACACAGAGAUGUCAUCAUUUUCACGCUCCAGCCAAUCUCGGAUUUUCAUUGCAUUCUAUUCUGAGUCCUUUCAGAGCGAUGAACUUCCAAAAAUCUAACCGAGCACAGACUUAUCUCAUUUGCUGAUGGCUUCAGAGUCCUCUGGAUUAUGGCAGAGAUUUGAUGGUAUAAUCAUCUCCCAUGAGAAUUAUCCAAACAGCUGUGAAGGCAAGACCGAGCUACAGGGGCCUUGCAGUGCCUCGUAAUAGCAGCAAGGACCAAGGCCGAACAAAAUGAAUCUUUUCUGUUUCUCAUUGGAAGGCUCCACAGAGAGCAUAUAUGAGCCAAUCCCACAGCAAGCUAAACAAGAAGGCACCUGUAGCAGAAGUGAGGAUACAGGACAAGCAUUUAACAAGCUCGGUGUGGCACAACACUGGUACUUAGAUGACUUCAUAUUUGACCCCUGCACUUCCCAUCAAGGUCAUCGUACCCCUUCCAAAACAAAAAUUCAAGAUUACCCUUCAAGCCCUUCUGAAAACAAAAGAGAGAGAGCUUCUUCCAGCUGUAUUACCUACCCAUAAUUCUUCAUUCCACUUUAAUUAAAAGACCAUAUUGAUGAC
ensembl:lncRNA